UACAGAGACUGCAAGCGUUAUUCGGAUUCACUGGGCGUAAAGGGUGCGUAGGUGGCGUGGUAAGUCAGAUGUGAAAGCCCAGAGCUCAACCCUGGAAUUGCAUCCGAUACUACCAUGCUAGAGUACUGAAGAGGUGACUAGAAUUCUCGGUGUAGCAGUGAAAUGCGUAGAUAUCGAGAGGAAUACCAAAGGCGAAGGCAGGUCACUGGGCAGUUACUGACACUGAGGCACGAAGGCUAGGGGAGCAAACGGG
rnacentral:rRNA from 1 species